UACGUAGGGUGCGAGCGUUGUCCGGAAUUACUGGGCGUAAAGAGCUCGUAGGUGGUUUGUCGCGUUGUCCGUGAAAACUCACAACUCAAUUGUGGGCGUGCGGGCGAUACGGGCAGACUGGAGUACUGCAGGGGAGACUGGAAUUCCCGGUGUAGUGGUGGAAUGCGUAGAUAUCGGGAGGAACACCAGUGGCGAAGGCGGUUACCUGGAGCUUUGCUGACGCUGAUGCGCGAAAGCGUGGGGAGCGAUCCGG
rnacentral:rRNA from 1 species